rnacentral:lncRNA from 1 species
CCUCACAAUCUCACAGGCAUGUUGAGUGCCUCUAUACCAUACAUACUGGAUUAGUGCCAGGAAGACACAUUAGGUUGACCAAAAAGUUUGGCGUUUCAGGAACAUGCUUUUAGAAGCAAGCUUCAGUAAUCACAAACCAUCUAAAUUAUGUUCAAUAUGCUCACACCAAUAACAAAAAUGAUGCACUUGGGCAAAAGUACAAUAGAAUUUUUGGAGUAGUCAAACAAAGACAACCACUAAUCAUAUAUGAGGGCAUACGACAUUUGAUGGGCAAAAGGUGAACACACUCAUGGCUAUUGUGAUGCGGCUAUCCAAUAGAAGAAUAUUCUCUAUUACAACUUGGUUAUCAACUUUUCAUGAGUAACAAUUCCUCCAUGUAUUUGUAUUUUGGUAUCAACUGACUAAACAAAAUCUUUAUUGCUAUUUUUUUAUAGAAAACGAGAUUUUAUUAAACAGCUAAAAAACAAUACAACACUUAGUGGACUAGGAAGUCCACCAUCAAAACGAAACAGCCCUGACAUAUGCCUCAACAUUCACCUCCAUCAUUAUAAAACAGAUCUGCAACUAUCUCACUGCAACUCCCCAAUCCAACAAAAUUACAUAAAAUGAAAGAUCCCAAAACCUUGGAGAGAGAGAAGCCAUAAGAAUGCCCAAUUCUUUCCCAAGAAUUCUCUUGUAAAUCCCCACUCUAAUUUUCAAAGGUUGCAAACUUGAAAUUAACAUAGAAGGUAACUGGCUUCAGAGUCAACUAGGAUAAUACUGGGCAUAUAUGCAGAGAGUAGGCAUAGUAGCAACUUUCAGGGUAUGGAAUAAUACAAAAGGAAAGGGAAGACCACAGAAUUCUCUCAGUCAUCUUAACUUGAUUUGGUACUAAGAAUAAGUUAUGUAUACACUUCCCACUGGCCCAUCUGUACGUUAAUAUAGAAAUAGAUUAUAUCCUGGCAACAAGGAAGUGAAAUACUCCUAUUUUUAUAUCAAUAUUGGGCACAAAUUAAGAGUUCAUCAAUAUAAUUUUACCUCAAUUGUAACCAACUGUGCAUAUAAGUUUACCUGAAUUGUUUGUCUGUGCUGCUUGUAUAUAUUGAUCUGUACAGUUGCUUUCUUCAACAAAGGGUCACUACUUUUCUGUACAUCAUAAUCUAUAUGUUCCUGCAAACAUAGUUUACAACUGUAAGCUCAAUAACUAGUGCACUGUUCGAAGUACAUGAUUGAAAAAUGAAGAAAACGGAGUGACCUUAUAACAAUUAAUGAAAGAUAAAAUGUAGUUCACAGAAUAAAACAUUCAAACACCACCAUCUUGAUAGUUAAACAAUUUCACUGUAAAAGCUAUUAAACUUAGCAGGAAAAAAAAUUUAAACUUUAUCUAACAUUUGAAUCUACAAUUUUCAAUUAGCAACUCUUGUCACAAAUGUUUAUUAGUGGGGUACGUUCUAAGAUAUUGUUAUUUGCUAAUUGUCGAGGAUUAUUUGGGAGUUAAAUCUCACAAGAAGGCGUAAAGAUCACAUUAGAAUUAGAUAUUUUACUAGGAAGCUAAAGAUCACAUUAGAACCACCCGCAGGAAUACAAAAAAACGACAUACCUUAUAGUCCAGUUGAUCAAAACCCUUGCAAACAAAUUCGAACAAGGUUCUUAAGUUCUCAGGGCUGGGUGCAGUUACAAAUAUAUUUGAAUACCUGUGAAGAUAUAUUUGUAUCGUCAAAACAUAGUACAUGAAUAUGAGUGUAGACAGCUACACAUACACCAAAACAGUUUUAAUACAUUGUAAAAGGCAUACUACCCUGCAGCAAUAGCUCCGGAAAUUGCCAAACCAAGUGCAGCCGAUUUUCCACGGCCUCGAGCAGCAAGCAAGGCAACAGUACUUCGGAGUGUCUUGUCCAAGAUUGCAUCAAGAAAUGUAGCAACAGCAUUUCCCUGUUGAAACAUUUACCAACUCAAACUAUGAGUCAUAUUAGUAAAUCACACAUGAUAGAAAAACUCAAAACUAAUACAAAUCAGAGAGAGUGCCUACCUGGUCCAACGUACAACAUUUCUUUAUUAAAGGGCCAACAGGAAAGGCAUCACUCAGCUGCUCUUUUAGAUCCUUCAGUUCCCUUUGUGACUCUGAUAUCCCUUCAGAGUCCUUCAAUCAUGAUCAGAAAACAAGAAAAAAGUUAUCAAAGUUAUCAAAGCUUCACAAACUCCUAGAAAGUAUCCUAAUAACCAUUCGGUAUACACACACUUGAAAAAUUACUUUUAUUCUUUUUGUCAUCUCGCAUAAGAUGCCACGAAAAUAAAGCAUUCCUCGAUUUAUCAGUUCCGUCCUAUAGAAAAGUUACAAGGCUAAAAGGUUACCUCUUUCACUGGAACUGGGGUAAUUGACCUCAUAUGAGAUGAAAUUGGUAAAAUAUUCAGCUCAUCAUCCAUUACUACACAUGAUUUGCAUGACGCAAGUGACAAUAAGAAACGCUCGUUAAAACGUCCAGUAGCCUUAGAAUGGGAUUCAGUUCGAAACCUAUCAUGAACAUCCUGAAAUCAAGAGGCGCUGAUAAGACUGUAUGGAGAUUUUUGCAUUUGAGAGAACGAGAAAGACAGUGUUGCAAAUAAAACAUGACAUAACGGAAUUGUUAUCAAAUAUAAUAUGUGGUGCAUGGCUAUUGCUAUAUUCGUUCUAAGUCCAUAAUGUAGUAAAACUAGAAACUACCUCAACAAGAAGAACAAAUAUUAUGAGGAAACCUAGUUGUUUUUUCUUCUUCUUUUUGGGGCUAGAACAUGAAAAGAAACAACUAGUCUACAUAGGCCCAACUGGGAAACUUAUAUGUUCAGCAGCAUUCUCUUAAAGAAAGUCAAGCAAUUGAAUCUACCAAAAGUCUUCUUGUAGCCAAGCACAUCAUUACGAAAAAAUUCGGAAACUUUUAACAUGGCUAGUUUUCAAGAUUUUGCGGUAUAUAAUAAGCAUAACCAUGCUGGCCUAAAAACUAAGCAUUAAUUGUGUGCAUGCGUAAGAGAAAGAGGUAUUAUUAUAUGCAUACCAUAACCAUGGUGUAGAGGUUGGUGAGUGAGGUUAGAGAAUGAAGCAACAAUAUGACUAGUCCACCUCCCUCCACUGUCUCUAUCGUUCUUGCUAGUAGAUUUGGAGUCAAGGCCUCAAAAUCCUAAUGCAGGAGAUCAAACUUAGUCAUAAAACUUAAAUCAAUUAUACAAGGGGUCUUGGCCAAACCAGUAAAUUUGUAAGUUUCAAGUUACCUGAAGUAUACACAUUCCAAAGGUAUUACCAAGAACUCUUUCUGAAUCCUUGUACAAGCAAUAAGUCAAUCCCCCACUUUCAACAAAAAGUGAGAAAGGAUCAACCUUCUCGGGAUCAAGCAGCCCCCUCUGCAUCAUCUUUUUUACUUGCUUAGCACGUUUUUUCUUGUGACUGCAUCAUGAAGUAGUCAAACGCAACGAAUCAAUAUAUUUUAAAAACGAAAUUCCGCCUUGCCUUAUAAUAAGGUGAAGAAUGGAAGGUAGAAGAAAUCAACCUGCUGAGCUCGAGCUUGUCCUUGUAGCACCACAACACAGUCGGGCGCGAUUUCUUUACUUCAUUGCUUAGCAUAUAAUGAAGAUUCACAAUCUGAAGACCAUAUAAAACUCCAUAUUAGCCAUUUUCCGUUAGUUUUCGAUAGAUUUUCGAUGAUAUUUCUUACCUUGUUUGAGGUUUUUAGUGUUACUCGGUGAGUAUUGCAGGUGAAAACAAGAAACAGUAAAACUGGUAAAAUUUUCUACCCAAUUCAAUUUAAAUCAUUGUUAUAACUCCUCAAAUUGAAUAGGAAUAGCAAAUAGGGAAUGGGAUAGGAAAGGCAGAAGAAAUUAGGAGUACCUGGUCACGGGAUUUGUCGCCGACGAUGACGAACAUGGAGCGGUGCCGGUUUUUGACGCCAUUGCUUAUUAGGGUUCGGAUUCGUUCGUCCACCUUCUUCCUCAUUCUCUCUCUCUCUUCUCUCUCUGUGCAAUUAGGUUUAGGGUUUAUACCAUAGGGCAGUUGUCGUCGUCGGGCAGGGUUUAAGCCGAACUAGUGAGAGAGAGACUAGACAUCGCGGAGAGAUAUUGAGUUCAUCUCAACCGUUGAUUGGCUAUCUGAUGGCUGUUAUCAAAGCUGACAUAAAAAUGAAAACUCAACACGUGGCCAAGUAUUUUUUUUCUCUCUUUUUUGGCUUAUUUAUUGAUUUGCCCCAGAAAUUAUUUUUUUUGUCUUACUCUAGGUCAUGAAACAGAAUUUAUCUUACUUUAUCUUCUAAAACUACCAAAAUCGAGUCAUUUCACCCAUGUUUUGUCAAUUCUAUCUCAUAAACGUUAAAUAAAAGGGAGUCUAAACAUUUCAUACCAUGCUAGCAAAGAUGAGCCACUGUUGUUGGUGAGGUACGAAAUUUUCAAACUUUCCUAAACCUUUAAAACUUAAAAGGUAUCUUGAAUAUGAACGUAAAUGAGGUAAAGUUGCUCAAUUUUGGCAAUUUAUGAAGGGUAAAAUGAGACAAAUUCAAUUUAAGGCUAAAGUGAGAGUAAAUGGCAGUUUCAUGAGAUAUAUCAAUAAAUAAAUCUUUUCUAGAAUACAACUAAAUUAUGUACUCACGGUAAAAGAUAAAUUAAUAUCGAACUUGUCAUUGACGAUAUCUAAACAUAAAACCUUUCAAGUUUUUACCUAUAAGAAUAAAUUUGGUAUAGUAAUUUCUUUUCUAAUUUAAAGUUUCCCAUAGAGUUAUGACGAAUUUGAUACCAAAUUAGGCUGUCAUUGUGUGGCAUAGCCGAAUUCCUCCUCCCUUACUUUAAAAAUAACGAUGUACUCAAAAAAAGUUUCCCAUAGAGUUAAAAUGAUCUUUAGUUGCUUGCUGAGACAACCCAUAUGUAUAAUAAGACAUUGAAAAAGGUGCCUCUGUCAUUUACACUCACACGAUCGAAUAAGUAGCUCCGACAGUUGCAUCAUAAAAUUAAGGGGUUUUCCGAGAUUGUAGUAAGGUUGACGAUUAAAGUUUGGGAAAUUUUCAGGUUAAGGAAUCAAGGGAUCACAUUUUCAAGUUUCGUAGGCAUUCUCUUUCCUUUGGAAUGGUGUUGGAAUCCGUCCUGAAGUUGCCCAUUCCUUUGCUCUUGAUUUUCAGAGUUGGAUAGCUAUAAACCUUAGGACACAUUGUACCACCAUACAUGGUUUACCUUGGAACCUUAUCUUUAAUUCAACUCUCUGGCAUUGCUGGAAAUGGAGGAAUAACUUUGUCUUCAAUGAUGGCCAACAACCGCUUGACUCACCCCAGAAUUUCAUUUUUCAAUUUGCAAGGGAAUGGUGUGAUGCGAACAAGUGUUCUUCUAGUAAGCCUCCUAGACAAAAUCAUCUCAAUCCAUUGGAUUCGUUUGCCAAUUGGUAUACAAAAUCAAUACAGAUGGGAGUUGUAAAGACCCAUUUAGCCACAUAAGUGCUGGAGGUUUGCUUCGUAAUUCUGAAGGGAAAUGGAUUAAGGGAUUUGCUGCUAAUUUGGGCAGAGGAACCAUCAUGGAAGGUGAGCUUUAAGGGUGGUUUCAUGGGACUUUCUAUAGGUUGGGAUGAGAGUUGCAAGGAAGUGAUUAUUGAAUGUGAUUCUUAUGCUGCUGUUACUUUGAUCCAACAACCUAUUUUAGUUCCCACUCUACAAUCUCAUUAUUGACUGCAAAGAAGCCAUUGAAAGAAAUUGAAGAUGUGAAGUUACUCAUAUCUAUAGAGAAAAUAAUGUCUUAGCUAAUCACACGUCUGACUUAGGUCAUGGGUUAUCACUUGGUCUUCAUGUUUUUGCUUCUCCUUCUACCAUUGCUACUAAUUUUAUAGUUUCUAAUACUAUUGGCAGGGCCCUCCCUAGAGCUGUUUUUUAGUAGCUUUUUUGUUUUGCUUGUUGGGCUUUGCCCUCUUCUGUACCCAAAAAAAAAAAAAAAAAAAAAAAUAUUGGGAAAUUUAUUUGGACCCAACUUUUUUAUCUCUACACCCAAAUAAUAUUUUCUCUUAUCUAAUCUUCCAAAUUUGUCCUUAAAUAACAAACAUUGAAGUUUUCUUUGUAUCUCUACACCCAAACCCCACGAUCCACCACUGUAGGGCGCUCCAUUAUUUCCGACAAACCCAACUCAAACGCCAGCAACACUAAAAUCGACAAAUCAAGACUGGAGAACAAAUGGUGUAGGAGUCCUAAUGUGAAUAUUAAAGCAAACUUAAGUUGCAAAACCCUUUUUUAUUUCAAUCGAUGAAAGGACCUUGGGUUAUGAACAUAAGGAACCUAUUAGGGUUUAGAGGUCCCCUCCACAUCAUAUGCAUAAGCCCUUUUUCUUCAUUCAUUAAUUUACGGAAGGGAAAAUUAAUACUAUUAUUCUCAUAAAAAGUGGGAAUACCAAGGAAAGAGAUCCUCUCCACACCAUAUAUUUUUCUUUUCUGAGUAGUUAUAUCCAAUGGAGAGAGGAAAACAAGAGCACCAAUGGUCGCAGGUUCACCGGAGAAAAUGAAGGUGCAGUGGUGAUGUGAGUUUAGGGUUAUUGGGUGUAAAGAUAACAACUUUAAUAUUUAUUUUCUCAUUUUUAUUUAUUUAAGGGCAAAUUUGAAAGUUUAGUAGAGAAAAUUUGUUAGUUGGGUGUAGAGAUAAAAAGGUUGGGUCCAACAAAAUUUCUCAUAAAGUUUAAUCACGCGAUUAAGUUCUUGUGCAAUGAGUAAAUUGUAGCAAUGACCCAUCAACUAAAAAUCCAUUAUUAUUGAUCCCUCAACUCAUCAAAAUAUGUAGUUAUGGUCAUUUUCGUCAACUUUGUAAGAAUUUUGUCAAAAUAAAUUAUGUUGGAAGGACCAUUGUUACAAUUAAGGUCCUUCAACUCAUCAAAACAUGUAGCUAUGGUCAUUUUCGUCAACUUUGUCAAAAUGAGUUAUGUUGGCAUGACCAUUAUUGCAAUUGGGUUAAAGUUGAGGAAUCAUUGCUCCAAUUGGGUUAAAGUUGAGGGAUCAUUUCUCUAGUUAGAUUAAAGUUGGGGGACCAAUGAUAAUUAAGUUUUAGUUAAGGGAUCAUAGUUGCACGUUUUGAUGAGUUGAGAGAUCAAUGAUAAUGAAUUUUUAGUUAAUGGAUCAUUACUCCAAUUGAGUUAAAAAUAAAGGACCAUUGCUACAAUUUACUCUUGUGCAAUAGAAGAUUAAUUUGGCCGAACAACCUGAUUAAGGUGCCUACUUUCUCUUUAAUUCAUUGGUAUCAUUUAUUUUCCCUUAAGCUGAAUUAUGCUCAAUUUAUGUAUCAAUAUUGUAAAGUUGUCUUUGUUAGAGUAAUUUGGACAAUAUAAAUUGAAAAUUAUUUGUGUAUAUGGAAAAGAUUAACCUCAGGGGUCACUUCGCCGGACUCCGUAGCAAUCUCCACCACUCCAAUCGUAAUGGUGAGUAAAUCACUUGUGUUUGUUUCCAUUUUUUCAAUUGGAAAUUGGGGGUUUUGAAUUCAUAUUUUGUCAAUUGGUUUUGUGAGCACUGAGAAUACACUACGAGCUUGUGUGUGUGUACAAUAUGUUGGAUUUGAUCUUUAUAAAGAAUGCGAGAAAUUGGGGUUAGGAAAGAGAAGAAAAGGAAACAGAACUCGAACUUCGAUCUUCAUUCUUGUUACUAAAGGAGAAAACCGAAUUUGAACCGGUUCAUACGUAAUCGAACCGAAUUUGUAUAGUUCGGUUCACCCCUUAGUACCGAACCGUACCAUACCAAAAAAAAUUUCUUGAGUUUGGUUUUGAUACAUCCCUCAUACUGUACCAUACCAAAUCGUGGCCAGACCUACUGAAUACAAAACUUAUAUCUGGGUCGUAAGUCGUAAGGCCUCCAAAAAAAAAGUUCAUAUUAUUCAUACCAAUCGGACAAAUCCCGCACCCAAAAACAAUGGCUAGAUAGAAAGUUCAAUUAUAGAUUAGGUAAUCUAUCCUUUUCAACUUAAAUGCACAUUCAUGAUGGUUAUGCAAAUCAUAUUAUGUUAACAAAUGCAACAAUUAAUUAUAUUUAUCCAUUUGGAAUGAUAUAUAUUUUCAAAGAUGGAAUUACAGACCCCGUUGACGUUGAGGCCAUUGCAUGAGAGAAUUUUAGAUGAUUUUCAAUUAAUUUAUAUUAUUGUUGUGAUAACCAUAAUAAUUAUUUUCUAAAUGUAAAACUAUAUUAAUGAAAUUUUCUUUGUCGGUCAAAAGAAGAUGAAAAGAUAUCUUUAUCUUCUAUCACAACAAAAAAAUUAAGGAUAUUAAUGUAAUAGGCUAAUAGCGAUGGGGUGAAGAAAUGGAACUAUCCUAAAUAGGCAGUUGCUGGUUAUAUUGGAUCAGGUGGUCUGAAUGAUUGGAUAAUUAGCAAAUAAAAAGGUUCCAUUUUUCAUGGACCCUCAAGUGGAAAUAUGGGAUAAAAGAUGGCAUAUACCAUUUUAUCCAUUUGUGAUUGUACAUUUUGAUGGUUGUGAUUUCACCCGAUGGCGCGGCAAGUGUGGAUUGGGAUAAGGAUGGUUUUGGUCUAUCAUCAAAGAUGGUUUGAUGUUCACGACUGGAUUUUACAACGCAUCCAAGUGCAUGGGUUCUAUAAAUACAGAGUUGCGCACAAUAAAAAAGUACAAAGGACCUUCAAACCUUUCACACACUCUGAGAAACUCCUGAUUCUCCCAACUUCGUCAACACAUCUUCAAUUUGGAUUAACAUCACUGUUUGUCAGUGAGGAGUCCUUAGUCUUCUCGUCUCAUUAGCCCUCUAGGUGAAGUGAGGUGUUACUGAAUUACUUGAGUAUUCAGCACAUUGAAAGUCGAACCUUAUUUGAACUUCACAGUAGUUAGCAAUCUUAUCUUCAGGUUUUAGAACCCAAUGCCAAGACAUAUUCCUUCCUCGACAGUGAUGGUUUGUACACAAAAGUUGGUUUGUACACAUAAGUCAGUAUUGUGUUUGACACACCAUCCCAUUCAUUCUACUAGCCCACAAACGCGUGGACUCGUCCAAAAUUACCCCACUCUCGGCCCGUUCACUUGCCCACUCGUCCCACGCGGCCCGUGAGUCUUCAGUGCCUGAUAGGGGGGCCUACUGUUAGGGCCGUUGUUGGCCACAACCCAGAGCCCAACGAUUUUUUUUUGCAUCCCACGACUGGCAUUUUUGGACCGUUGGUUGAUCCAACGGUCCAGAUUCAAAUUUUGUUUUUUUAAAUGUUAUUUUAAAAUACAUUGAAUCCAACGGCUGAGAUCGAAUAUAAUCAAAUCUAACGGUAAAAUAAAAAAAGAUAAAAAAAGAUAUAACAGUCCAAAUUUAAAUCCAACAGCUAAAAUAAUUUUAAAAAAAAUUAUUUAACUCAAAAUUCACCCAAAAACUCUAUAAAUACCUUUGUAUUUGUUCAAACAUCCACACAAAACUCAAUUUUCUCCCACAAUUCUUCCAUUUUUUCUUUCUACCAUUUCUUUCCAUUUCCAAAUUGUUCAACACGAUCCUUGAAUUGGCCAUCCCAAGCAGUAAGACAAUUCUUCCACUCCCAAAGCAUACAAUCGAGACUUCCUAUCAUGUCAGGAAAGCCUAUUUUGUCUGCUUUGAGUAGAAUGUGACGACAUGUCCCGAAUUAUUAUAUAUUUUUCUCCCUAAGUGUGUAAAGUGACGGUAAUGCCCUCGUGAUUUAGUGACGUGGAUGUACAUAUGUAGUUUUAAAUUAUUAUUUCUAUUGUCGUAGUUAAAUUGUACUCGACGCCAUGAGUGUGUUGAUGUGACCUAGGGCUAAAACAAAUUCGUAACGAAGAAGUUACGAACAGACGAGUGUGUAAAUGCGUAGAAAUAUAUUUUUAUGGGUUGGCUAUACCUUACCCACCAAUCACCUUAAUUCCUGAUUUCUUUGGCCUAAUUGAAUUAAAAAUAUCUCUCAUUUUUCCUUCUGCCCAAUCACGCACAUACACACCAUCACUCUCUCUCUUCUCUCGGACCUUCUUCUUCUUUCUUCUCAUUCCGUACACCCGAGCCACCCUUACCUCACAAUCAUCAUCAAAACAUUAUGGAUCGAAUUGGAAAUCACUACCAUCGCAGUCACCUCGAUCCCACGAACUCAUUGAUACCCUUAGGUCGAGGAAUAGACGUCGGGAAUUCGAGAACUCGGGAGCUCUGGCGAGGUGUAUUUUUCUACUUUGUGAUCGUGGUCUUUUUCUAUGGUUUAAAGGCUUGAGGUGGGUCCUAAUCAACUUUAUAGGGACCCUAGAUUAGUUUUGGAGCAGUUUGAACGUUGGAAUAGGUGAGAACAUGGAGUUGCAGGUUGGCCGGUUGAUCCAAGCCUUACUCCGACCACUUUCUGUCGGUUUUAGAACCUCAAGUAGGUAAGAUUGUAUUCUUCUAGUUGAGAGUUUCAAAUCCAUAUAAAAUUCAUGGAAUUUGGUUGAAAAAUGAUGAAGAUAUUAAAGUUUUAAGAUUUUUCCAAAAAUCAGCGACACAAACGGCGCCCGACGGCCAGCGAUGGAUUCCGACAAAGCCAUCGGAGAAGGAGGAGAAUAUUAUGUCUAACUUUGACAGAAUAUACUAACAGCGUCAGGUAACUCUAUUAGUUUUUAAACAAAAUAUUCUACUAUUUAAUGAAAUAUUCCCUAACGCCGUUAGGGAUUCCGUGCCUGCACGUGCCGGCUUAUGAGGGCGCGUGAGACGUCAGGAAAUUAAUCUAAAAAUAUUGGGGUGUUCGAGUUGUUGAGUAGGUCAUGUUGGUAUAUUCAAACACCCUAUUUGAGCAACGUAUGAGAAGUUAUUCCUAGGGUUUGUGUAUGUGCCUUAAAAUUAAUGUAAAAUUAGUUAUUUCGCAUAUAGGUGAGACUUACCCGGAGGACAAACGUGGUCAAACGAGACUUGGGGGCUACGAUCCUACUACUUACCAGUGAGCGGGCUUUUUUUUUCUAUAUAUAUGUAAAUAUGCUUAUGAAUCCCAUAAACUACUUUAAAUGAACGUAUGUUUUAAAUGCCAUGUCGUGUGCAUUAUGUGUUAGUAUUGCAUUAGUAUAGCUAUGCAUAGUAUUGGAUGAGACUGCGCAGACUCAGGUAAGUUUCAGGUGAGUACAUCAUGAUGGUAUUGGGUGCGUGUGUGUGGUUAUACGUUGAUGCAUUUUGAGCUUAUUAUCCUGCACAUUGGUGUUAGUGUUCUCGCCCAUGGCCAGGGCAUAGUUUUUCACAUGAUGUUCACCUCCUGGGCCGCACGCUCACUUUGGAUCCAAGUUUGGUGCACAGCCAUAUUGCACAGACCACAAUAGGUGGUUCCGACUCGUAGGUGACCUGCAAUUAUUUGCACAGCCUUCACGUGAUCGUAGCACUUAAGCGUACUUAUCUACACCCAGCCCUGUUGUACAGACCACAAUAGGUGGUUCCGACUUAUGUGCAUGCAUACUUGAUGAGCUAUAGAUUCAAUUGUACAGGUUACAUUAGGUGACUCCGGUUGGCAUACUAUUUUAGGUUGAUUCGUAUCACCUGGCUUACACAUUUUAUGGUUGAACAUCUUGACAUGGCAUACCUCUGUUUUCACUGCUCUAAGCAUUAUCCUUAUGUACCUAGUUGUUAUUAUUUUCUGGAAAAUUAUAUGGGUUUACAGUGAGGGGUUAGUAUGUUCAUAAAGACAACUGUGUUUUCAAAAACUUUGUUUUUGCCUACUCACAUUUUUUGUUUUGCACCCUUUCAGGUUCUAGGUAGUUGGUCAUCCUUGGUGGCUCACGAGGACUUUCACGGCGGUUCUGACAUCUCUGUAAAUAAGUAGGGAUUUUUUUCCCUGUUUGUAUAAUUAGUACUUAGUUGGUUCGAUUGCACUUUCGUUUACCCAUGCUCUGAUAUUUGUAUAACUUGCUUGGUCAUCUUUACUCACUUAUAUUAUCUUAGUUUAGAUAAGUUUGGUUUUAGGUUUUUAUUUAUUCGCAUUUCUUUUAUUAUUACUUCUGUUGCGCAUUUUGGCUACGUUACUCUUACGUGACGGGCAUCAUGUUUCGACUUCGGUUGGGGUGUGUCAUAAAAGCCUCUUCAAGUCUUCAUGAUUUGGCUUGCAGAGAUAUGUGGCUCCAUAUGUGGCCUGAAUUGCCCCACAGAAGCGCUCCAGGUUUUUAAUAGCAGUAGUCUCCGCAAGUCGGCAAUACUCAUCAGUUGAGUUUGCAGAGCACUCAUUAGCUAGCAUCCGAAAUGCAGAUGUGAGCUUCUGAUGAGGUGAUAGACUUUGUCGGCCUACGACAUUUAUCUUCCUUGCAAAGUAGUGGUCAUGAUUGACAACUGUGUUCAAGAUGCUUUCAAAAAUCUCUCUCCUCAUUCGAAACCGUCUCCGAAAAUCAUGAGCAGGAAAUCUCGGACGCUCAAUAAAAUAAUAUUUCAUCAUUCGGUCAUGACACUCUUCUCUAUCACGUUGCACAAAUGAACGCUUCGUGACAUAACCACAAUAGCUAGAUUCGACAUGGUGCUCAUAUUGCAUAAGCGAGUUUGGAAGUUUAGCUUAUGCGUUGAUCAUUUUUGAAUCCUCAAUGUCAAGGCUUGCUUGGUAUUAUGUCAUUUGCAUUGCCCUGCUACACCUUCUUCUAUCAUCCAUUGUUGAUAUAUUGAGGAUUUUUAUGAAACAAAAACACUUUGAAAGUUGAAAGAUUAGUGAAUAUAGGGAAUGAUUGAAGGUUGAAAGAUUGUGUGACCAACUGAUAUUGAACAUGUGUUUAUAUAGAGGAUGAUUGAUGAAAGUUGAAAGUUUGGUGAAAGUUGAACGGUUGGUGAAAGUUGAAGAUUUGUGAAAGUUAAAGACUUGCUUUGUGGAAAGAUUUAGUGAUUUUUUCAAUAUUUAUUGGAAUUUAAAUAUUUUUAUAUUAAAAUGUUCAUAAAAUUAAUUUACCAUAGGCUACAUAAUUUUUUUUAAAAGUUAAUUUAAGAAAAAAAAUUAGCCUAAGUUCAUUCUUUAAUAAUCCCGAACUAAAAUUUUAGGCUAGGGUUGGAGCAGAAAAACUGUUUCUGUGUUAAAAGCUAAAUUUUUUAGAUUAAAAAUUUUAAAUUUUAACCCAAAGGUUGGAGAUGAUUUAAGAAUGGAUAAACUUAACCAAGAAAAGAAGAAAAAAGAUGAAGGGCAAAUAAGUGAGAAGCAACAUGACACGACACACGGACGACCAUAGCAAUAAAGCGUGCGUCCUCACGUCCAUUGAAUAUAUAGAUGGGAGCUACAACAUCGUGUUUCACGUGCAUGUGUAUUAUACAUAAAGGCAUAUACAGUGUUAGCUUAUAUAUUAUAAAGUUUGUAGGCCACUUACCCAAUUUGGCAUAUGUUUUAUCUUUUUACGUGAAUAACCAAUGUGUUAUGAUGAUACAAGUCUCUUAACAUAUCCGGAGUUAGAAAUAUCAUAAGACAGUGUUGCGAUCAUAUUGAAAUUAAUUGACAGUUUGUAUUAUAUAUUUGAUUAUUCUUUAUUAACUUAAGGAGACAGCAUACUUAGACCUAAUUUAGUCACAUUCUCCAACCGAAAAUAAAGCGGUGUAGUAUUCAUACACUUUUUUUUAUUUCUUACACAGUCUUAAUUAAUUUCUAUUGUUUGAUCUUCUUCAAUUCAUUCGAUCUGACGACCGAAAAUUAAGAUGGUGUGUGGACGAGUAAAUUAUAACAAUGGUCCCUCAACUUUAAUCAAAUUGGAGCAAGGGUGCUCAACUAAAAAUCCAUUACCAUUGGUUCCUCAACUCAUCAAAAUGUGUAGCUAUGGUCAUUUUCGUCAACUUCGUUACAAUUUUGUCAAAAUAAGUUAUAUUGGAAUGACUAUUGCUACAAUUGGGGUCCCUCAACUCAUCAAAACGUGUAGCUAUGGUCAUUUUCAUCAAUUUCGUUAGAAUUUUAUCAAAAUGAGUUUUGUUGGAAUGACCAUUGCUACAAUUGAAUUAAAGUUGAGGGACUAUUAUUUCAAUUGAGUUAAAGUUGAAAGAUCAUUUCUUCAGUUGUAUUAAAGUUGAAGGAUCAAUGGUAAUGAAUUUUUAGUUGAGGGGACUAUAGCUGCACGUUUUAAUGAGUUGAGAGAACAAUAAUAAUGAAUUUUUAGUUGAAAAACUAUUACUUCAAUUGAGUUAAAAUUAAGAAACAAUUGCUACAAUUUUUUUAUAUGGAAAGUGGAUGAUGUGAAUAGCACAUCCAAAAAUAAAAGGGAACUUUAACGAAAAGCACCCGGUACUGUUCACUUUAACGAAAAACCACAUUUUUACACUAAAAAGUCAAUCCUGGUACUAUUCACUUUACCCUUUAUUUUGUCCUUAUCAUUAAAACUCAAAGUUUUCAAGCCCUUUUCAUUAGUUUUCCUAAAAUAAAAUGCACCACAAUUUGGUAGGAUCUUCCUGUUGAGAGUAAUAAAUUAAUAAUUGCCGAAAUAUUGGAUAAUUUGUCGGCCACAACGCUAUGAGGGAGUAUCUGGGGAUGAAUAUACUCUUGCCGACAGAUGCCCAAAUUCCAACUGCCAUUCAAAUGAGCCCUCCACCACCACCGGCCAUAAUAAAUUCUCUUUCUUUAGUGAAGAAGAAAAAGAGGUACUUGGCCCUCACCUCAACUUUUUGAGAAAGAACAAGUUUAUCGCUAUCAGAAUGUUUCGGUCAAUUAUAUAAGUUAUGUGUAAAUUUUUCUUUAGAUAACAUUACAUUAUUAUAUUUAAAAUGUUCCGUAACGAUAAAUUUGUUUCAUACAAAUUAUUCUCCAACUUCUUGGAUUUUUCUCCUUUUUCCCGAAAACCAGCUUAUAUUAGUGUUCAUCCUCUGUCAAUAUCACUCGCCCACAACUAUUCAACUAACUUUUAAUAAUUUGACAACGUGUCAUAUUUUUGUGCAAAGCGGGCCCAUUUUUGUGGGUGAUAUAAUAAUGGCGUAUGUGGUUUGUCAAGACAUAUACUCAUUUAUCCAUUAGCAGUUAGGUAAGUCACCUCACUCACCCACAGCCUAACACAUCAACAAAUAUUGCUUACAAAUUCUAGAAAAUUCGACCAAGAAAAAAAACCAAAUGCUCGCAAAUUAAAAUUGUGUAACAUGAUUAGUUUUUUAUCCAUUAGUAUUAAUUUUACGUUGGAAGAAAUUCCAAAUUUAUUCUUGUAAAGAGGGAUAUGAAAAUACUUUGUAUGUCUAUCACCAAAAUCUUCGAAUGUUUGAAUGGUUGAUUUUCAAGUCUCACACAAUUGGAUUUAGUUCAAGUGAGAAAGAAAUACACUCAAACUAUUAGAUAUGAGGAAUGAAAAUACACUACAAAAUCUUGUGAACAUUUCUAAUAUUCUCUUCUAUCUACUUUUUGUGAACCAAGUUUUUAUUUGUUUUUUUUUUUAACAAAAGAUAUUUUUUAUACUAGGGAAAUAAGGUGGGUUUAGCCUCAUAAUGGGCUAACAUAAUCUAGUUCAAACUUGCAUUUGGUGAGAAUCGAACCUAAAAUCUCUCACUUACAAGUGAAGAGGAAUACCAUUAGAAGUGUCAUGAAAUUAGCAGUCUUAUAUGUAAAAAAUUGAUUGACUAAAUGCUGUGUUAAAAAACAAGAUUAAUACUUGCAUCUCCCCACUUGGAAAAUGCAAAUAUUUCAUUUCUUGCAAAUAACGUAUAUCAUGCGUUCUGUUCAAUCGCAUAUUCAAAAAUGUUAAAAACAAGAUUAAUAUUUCUAUCUCCCCACUUGGAAAAUGCAGUAUUUCAUUUUUUACGAAUAACGUAUAUCCUGUGUUCCGUCCAAUCGCGUAUUAAAAAAAUGUGUGAAGUUUGGAUUAACUACACUCUUUGAGAAUUUCCUUAAAUAACCACUUUUUGAAAAUUUCUUAUAGGACUAAGUGAGUCUCCGCUGAGAAUUUCCUUAACUAACACAACACUACUUGAGUGAUAAUUUGUUAUAUCUUGAAUAGAGAAUAAAUCAGUUCCCUACUUUUGAAGGUACUAUUAACUUACACUAUAUUUGAAUGAGAACAAUAAACUUAGAAUUUAGAUGAAGGAAAUAAAACAGUUUCCUACUUUUGAAGGUACUACUCGAGUGAUAAUUUGUUAUAUCUUGAUAACGUGUCAUAUUUUUUUGCUAAGCGGACCCAUUUUUGUGGGGUGGUAUAAUAAUGGCGUUUGUUGUUUGUCAAGGGCAUAUACCCAUUUAUCCAUUAGCAGUUAGGUCACCUCACUCACCCACAACCUAGUACAUCAACAAAUAUUGCUUACAAAUUCUAGAAAAUUCAACCAAGAGAAAGAAAACCAAAUGCUCGCAAAUUAAUCUGUGUAACAUUAGUUUUUAUCCAUUAGUAUUUAUUUUACAUUGGAAGAAAUUCCAAAUUUAAUCUCGUAAAGAGGGAUAUGAAAAUACUUUGUAUAUCUAUUAUCAAAAUCUUUGAAUGUUUGAAUGAUUGAUCAUCAAGUCUCACACGAUUGAAUUUAGUUCAAGUGAGGAAGAAAUACACACAAACUAUUAUAUAUGAGGAUUGAAAAAUACACUACAAAAUCUUGUGAUAACAUUUCUAAUAUUCCUUUCUAUCUACAUUUUGUGAUAAGUUUUUUUUUUCCUUUUUUGAACAAACUAUAUUUAUCUACAUUAAGGGAGAGGAGGUGAUCUUAGCCUCACAAUGGGCUAGCAUAAUGUGGUUCAAAUUCGCCUUUGGCGAUAAUCGAACCUAAAACUUAUCAUUUACAAGUAAAUAGGAAUACCACUAGAUGGAUCAUGAAAUUAGCAGUCUUAUAGGUAAAAAAAAAUUGAUCGACUAAAUGAUGUGUUAAAAAACAAGAUUAAUACUUGCAUCUCUCCACUUGAAAAAUGUAGAUAUUUCUGUGAACACGGAAAAUUCCUGAAACGAAAGAGACAAGAACAACGUGCACAAAAUAAUAUUUUGGUGUUAAUGGAUUUGUUGGGUUACGAUCUCUUUUAACUUGAUCCUCUGAUUCGAUCUCCGUAAGGUGUUGAUUUAUGGAUGUUUCGUUGAUCCAAGGGCUGUUGAGGCUUGAUCUUAGAUGAACUGUUGGAAGUUUCUUCAAGGGGCCGUGGGCUUGAUCUUUGAAGGUGGAUUUGAGCGGAUCUUCAAGGAGCCGUUGGGGCUUGAUCUUGAGGAUGAGUGUUUCUUCAAGGGCCGUUAAGGCUUGAUCUUGAAUAACGGUGAUGAACGGAUCUUCAAGGGCUUUUGGGCUUGAUCUUGAAGAACGGUUGGAUGUGUGGAUUUGUUGAUGUUGUUGAUCCAAGGGCCGUCGGAGCUUGAUCUUGGAAGAACGAUGAACGAAGAACGAAGAACACUUUCUUCAAAGGCCGUCGGGGCUUGAUCUUGAAUUGGUGAUUGUUGAUCCAAGGGCCGUCGGGGCUUGAUCUUGGAAGAACGAUGAACGAAGAACGAAGAACACUUUCUUCAAGGGCUGUCGGGGCUUGAUCUUGAAUUGGUGAUUGUUAAUCCAAGGGCCGUCGGGGCUUGAUCUUGAUUCUUCGGGAUGAACGGAUGAUGAACAAUGAACACUUUCUUCAAGGGCCGUCGGGGCUUGAUCUUGAAUUGGUGGAAGUUCUUCAAGGGCCUUUGGGGCUUGAUCUUGAAGGUGGAUGAUUGUUGAUCCAAGGGCCGUCGGGGCUUGAUCUUGGGAUGAACAGUUGUGUGGAUUUGUUGAACACUUUCUUCAAGGGCCGUCGAUGCUUGAUCUUGAAUUGGUGGAAGUUCUUCAAGGGCCGUUGGGGCUUGAUCUUGAAGGAGGAUUUGACGAAGAACGAAGAGGGCUUUCUUGAUCCUUCGGGAUUUGCUUGAAUUUGGGAGGUUGGAUGCUUGAAAGCUUUAGAGUUUCAAAGCUUCAAGGAUUUUGGAUGUGUGGGGAGUAUUCUCUUCCAUUUUGGGAGUAGAGAAAUGUAUUUGUGAAUUGGUUUUUGAUACCUUGAUGUAGAAGCCUAUUUAUAGGCUUUGAGAAUGAAUCACCACCACAAAAUAUUUUUUUUCUUUUCCAAGCACCAUUGCCUAAUUUCCCACUUAAUACAAUUUUAAACUUGAAGUGGUAAUUUUAUGGCCUAAUUUUCCACUUAAUAUCAUUUUAAACUUGAUAUGUGCAUGCUUUGUCAUUGCCCAAAAUGAGAAGAAAACCUUGUUUUGAUCUUCAAUGAAUUGAAAUGUGCUUGCCUUGUCAUUGCCCAAAAUGAGAAGAAAAACUUGUGUAAUCCUUCAAGGGUAUUUCUUUUUAUUUUGUUGAGUCGCACACCAUGUGUACAAUUUGUAUGACACGUGGCAUAUGCCAUGUACGCCUUGACACGUCAAAAUUUUAAUGCGUUGGUGAACAUUUAUUUCACCGCAAUUUCGGUGUCUACAAAUGCCCCCACUUCAAGGUGCGUCGUAUACAUGUGCUUGUCACGUGUAGGAGAUGCGUUUUGAAGUCCCUUACUGUAGAUGUCAAUCCAAUGGCCAUCGAGGCUUGAUCUUGAAUUGGGCUGGAGAUUUCUUCAAGGGCCGUUGAGGCUUGUUCUUGGACUUUGUUUGAAAUUUCUUCAAGGGCCAUCGAGGCUUGAUCUUGAAGGUUGAAAUUGGACCACAAGGAGCUUCAUGUGGUAGAUGAUCUUUGGCUUUGGUAGUGGAUGAAUCGGCACGUAUUUGUUUUUGCGCUUUGUUGACUUUCCACAGCUUUGAUCUUGAACUGGGUUGGAGGAUUUUUUGGAUUCCUCCAAUUGUUGAUUUUCCACAGUUUAUUCUUGAACUGGAUUUGAUUCAAAUAUGGUGGACGCUUGAUCUUGAAUCGGACUUGUGAUUUCCUCAAGGGCCGUCGAGGCUUGAUCUUGAAUUUGGCCGGAAACUUCUUCAAGGGCCGUUGAGGCUUGAUUCUUGAAGGUUGACUCGAACACAUGGCAAGCAGGCACGAGGUGAAGGUGACGACUUGUUGCUUUGUUCAAUCUUUCUAAUUCACACCUGAGCAGUUUGGUCAACGGUAUGAUCUUCAAGAUUGAUGGGCUCUUCUUCCAGUUGGUGAUUUGAUCUUUAAGGAUUUGAUUCAAGGGUGGUGAAACGGCACAUGCAGCCCACAACGCCUAGCAAGUCGACCCAAGAAUUUGAGGGUUAAAACGAGUCCUCCACCCAGAGUGAUUGCAAACCUGAUGAUAUGAGAUACUUUUGAUUUUGAAGAAGUAGCGGAUGAAUCGGCACGUGCUUUGUUGUGCUUGUCUCCACAUGCUUCAAUGUAUCAUUUUCCCUUGUCUUAUCUAUUCUUCUAGCAGAAUGUAGCAUCUUCUUAAGUUCUUCAACUCAGACUCCUUCUGCUGAGCUGACUGUGCAGGCUGCAUUAUUCUCUGCUUGUUUCUUUAGGCAGAUGUGGCAGCUUCUUGAGUUCCUCAGCUCGGACUCCUUCUGCUGAGCUGAUUGUGAAGACUGCAUUCUUAUCUGCUUGUUUCUUCUGUACGUUGUCUCCACAUGCUGCAAGGUAUCAUUUUCAAUUGCCUUAUUUGUUUUCCAGGCAAAUGUGGCAUCCGAGUUUGAGUGGAGGUUCUGGCAUAUUGUUUUCUUUAUCCUUGUCUUUGUAGGUAAGAACAAGGACAAAGGAAAGGACAGGGAGAACGCAUGAUAUGAUAUACUCUUGCUUUCUACCCUGGUGAUAUGAGAUACUUUUGCUUUGGUGUCAUUUGUUUGCAGAGGUACCCCAAGGAAUAAGAAACACUGAGUGACUCGAGAGGCUUUGUUGGGAAGGCAUUCUAGGAGAUGAAGAAAGGUUCUUGGAGAUGAAGAAAGGUUCUCGGAGAUGAAGAAAGGUUAUGUAUGUCUGCCUUGCUAUGGAGGGUAAAGGUGGACAGUUAUAGGAAAUUCUUUAGUACCUGUAGAGGUACUAUUCUUUUACUCGUGUCGGCAACCAAUGUGUGAUUGAUCAGUAUGGCUUCACGUGUUUUCUUCUUUAUCAGAAAUCUUCGACAAAUUGUCCGUAAUUUUCGUCAAGCUGAGUGUGCAUGUGACAGGUGUUGACGAGGCUGAAAAAGACUGGUGCCUCUUCGAUAUCUGGGAUCGGCGCUUCGACAAAUUGCCCGUGAUUUCCGCAAAGCUGAGUUUGCGCGUGACGGGUGCUGACGAGGCUGAAAAAGACUGGCGCCUCUUCGAUAUCUGGGAUUGGCGCUUUAACAAAUUGCCCAUGAUUUCUGCAAAGCUGAGUUUGCACGUGACGGGUGCUAACGCGUCUGGAAAAGCAAGAUGCUUCUCCGAUUUCUGAGCUUGCCUCUUUGAUUUUUGAAUUGGCCUCUUCGAAUUCUGAGCUCGCCUCUUCGAUCUUUGAAAUCCCAUCGAGUGUUGAUCUUUAUAGAGGCACGCAGUUCGUUUCAAAGCACACUUGAAUUUUCGCUUGUAGAAACUCCCUUCUUGCACUUCUAAGAUCUUGAUUUGUCCGACCUCUUCUUUCUUCAACACCUUUGAAAAUGUCUGGACCCUCCGACCGUCAUUUUGAUUUGAACCUUGGUGAAGAGGUAGUCCCGUCUUCUCCAGAUAACAUAUGACGCCCAUCUUUCAUAUCCCCUACUGGUCCUCUUACCGUUGGGGAUUCGGUGGUGAAGAAUGAUAUGACCGCUGCGGUGGUGGCCCGAAACCUUGUCACUCCCAGAGAUAACAGACUACUUUCCAAACGGUCUGAUGAGUUGGCUGUUAAGGAUUCUCUGGCUCUCAGUGUGCAGUGUGCAGGUUCUGUGUCUAAUAUGGCCCAACGCCUAUUUGCUCGAACCCGUCAAGUUGAAUCAUUGGCGGCUGAAGUGAUGAGUCUCAAACAGGAGAUAUUAGAGGGCUCAAGCAGAGAGAUAAACAGUUGCAUAAGCUCGCACAUAGCUAUGCGACAAACAUGAAGAGGAAGAUUAACCAGAUGCAGGAAUCUGAUGGUCAGAUUUUACUUGAUCAUCAGAGGUUUGUGGGUUUGUUCCAGCAGCAUUUGCCUUCGUCUUCUGGGGCUGUACCGCGUAAUGAAGCUCCAAAUGAUCAACCCUUGGCUCCUCUUCUUCCUGGAGUUCCGCCGAGUGGUGUGGCUUCAAACAGUCAACCUCCGACGCCUCUCAUUUCUGGAGCUCUGCUGAGUGGUGAGGUGGCACCUAAUCGUCCUUGAAGAUCCCCUCUUGUAAAUUUGAUUUGAUUUUUUUUUAAGUAUGUAUAAUGCAAAUUUAUGUAAAAUUUCCAGAAAAAAUAAAUAAAAACGGACUUUAUUUCUCUCAAUGCAUUUGUUUUGUUUUGUUUUUGUUUUUUUUGUUUUUUUGUUUUUGUUUUUUUUGUAAAUACAUAAUAACAUAUGUAUUUAUUUAUUUAUUCUUUUGUAAUAAAAUUGACUUUCUUUAAUAAAACUUUUAUAUUUUUCUUAUUUAUUUUGAUAUGACUGAACUCGAAAUUGAAUGUUCGAGCCGCCUACGUACCCUUCCAAAGAAGAGAUCAAGCCAUAACGUAGUUCAAAUGAGUGAUGAAUUUAAUAGUGAUUUUGAUGAUGAUUUUGCCGUACACAGUUUAUGCUCUUGUGGGCCAGGAGCUUUGGUGUUGCCUUUUAUGCUCGUGCAGACCAGGAGCGUUGAUGUCGCCUUUUAUGCUCGUGUGGGUCAGGAGCGUUGAUGUUGCCUUUUAUGCUCGUGCAGACCAGGAGCUUUGUGCCAUGCAGUUUAGACUCGUGCGGGCAAGGAGCUUUGGUUCGUGCAGUUUAGGCUCAUGCGAACAAGGAGCAUUGGUUCGUGCAGUUUAGGCUCGUGCGAACAAGGAGCAUUGGUGUUGCCUUUUAUGCUCGUGCAGACCAGGAGCUUUGUGCUAUGCAGUUUAGACUCGUGCGGGUGAGGAGAAUUUGUGAAUUUUGUCAAGCACUUUUGGAGAGGCGUUCCUUACAAUCUUCAUAGCAAGGAGCCUUGACCGAGUGAUUGAAGAAGUCUUCGGGAAAGAAGUCGCACAUCGUGAUGGCAACAGACGAUCUUUGUGUCGUAAUUUCAUCAUCUUCAACACGUUCACGUUGCUUUGAAGGUUGACAAGAGCUGCUUUGCCCCCUUUCCGAUUGGCGGACUUGUGGAGGAGACGUAUGCUUCUUGUGCCAUUUCUUAGGAGUGACUUGAGUCCAUCCUUCAAGUUUGCUUGUUUUGGAGGAUGCCCCCGGCGGUUGAGGUGAAAAUUUUGUGUUGAAAGAGCCAGAAGUGAUGGUGGUAUAGUUUGACUUCACCACAUCGUCAAGAUCUAGCUCGAUGAUUCCUUUCUGAGCCCACUUUAUGAUGAGAUCUUUCAGCACAAAGCACUUUUCUGUCGGAUGACUGAUGAAGCGGUGGAAUUUACAGUAUCUUGGACUGUUGGUACGAUUCAUCUCUUCCGGCCAUCUGCACUCAGGCAAACUGAUCACCUUCUUGUCCAACAGGUCAUCCAACAUGGCAACCACAUCAGAGUCAGGGAAUGGAUAAGUCUUCUCUUUAAGCUCCUUCAAAGUGCGUCUACGCAUCUCUUGAUCACGAAAAGCUUCGGUUUGAAUCGUUUUGCCUCGUGUGGAGAUUUUGACGGGAGAUGUGUUGACUGUCAUUGCUUCCUUGGUGGAUUUCCACGUAGCCUUCUCCACCUUUGUCUCAAGAAUUUUGUCGUUCUUGUAGUCGGCGAUCGGUUCCUUCUUCCCAUGAUGGGUGAUGCUCAACUCCAUGUCAUGGGCGUGGGUGGCCAAUUCCUCGAAGGUCCGUGGUUUAAUGCCUUGAAGGAUGUAUUGCAAACCUCAUUGCAUGCCUUGGAUGCACAUCUCGAUUGAAGAGGUCUCCGAGAGCCUAUCUUUGCAGUCGAGGCUUAGAGUGCGCCAUCUGUUGAUGUAGUCAAUGACCGGCUCAUCUUUCCAUUGCUUCAUACUUGUGAGCUCCAACAUGCUUACAGUGCGGCGGGUGUUGUAGAAGCGGUUGAGGAAUUCCCGCUCCAAUUGCUCCCAGCUGUUGAUGGACUCAGGCUCUAGGUCCGUGUACCACUCAAAUGCGUUUCUUUUCAGCGAGCGCAUAAACUGCUUGGCGAAGUAGUCCCCCUCCGUCCCCGCGUUGUUGCAAGUUUUGACGAAAUGUGCAACGUGCUGCUUUGGGUUUCCUUUUCCAUCAAACUGCAUGAACUUUGGUGGUUGAUAUCCCAUCGGCAUCUUUAGGGCAUCAAUCUUCUUUGAAUAAGGCUUUGAGUACAACCCGGAGGUAUUUGAGCUCCCUUCGUACUAUGCCUUGACGGUGCUGGCAAUCAUCUCUUGCAACUGUUGGAUAGAAAGAGAUCCCAUGAGUGCCGCUUCUUGGUCUGGCUCCGGCUUCACAUCGAUUUUCUCCACCGUAGGCUCAUCUUCUGGGUUAGGGUUCUCGCUGUCCUGUGGCUCCAGUUGACUGAUGAGUGCAGCGAUUUGCAAGUCUUUUUCUUCCACAGUUCGGGUUAGCCUUGCGAUUGCUUCAUUCAUUUGAGCCAGUUGUUCUUCGAUGGAGGUAACGCCGAUGGUCAUGACUUGUGCAACCAAUAGACGUGACUUUCCUUUAGACAUCCAAGAUGCUGAAGAAGAACGUCAUUGGUUGUUUUGGGAUGUCAUCUUGUGUGCCUCAGCAACAUGCUUUGGUGCCCCCAGCGAGGUCAGGUUGAUGACAGACUCACACCUUUGAUGCUCCCUUUGCUCUUUUAGCGGCACCAACUUUGAAGUGGCAUGUUAAGGAGCGGUUGUGGUGCUAAUGGAUUGUCCAUUUGCGGCAGAAGUGCUUAGGAUCCUUCCCUCAGUGAUUGCGAGAACGGCUUGUCCCUUGCUUGAUGCCAUUGAUUUUGAGGUGUGUUUGGAUUCCUUAAACGGAGAAAGAUAUGAGAGGUAGAGAUUGUCCCACCGGGCGUGCCAAUUUGUGAACACGAAAAUUUCCUGAAACGAAAGAGACAAGAACAACGUGCACAAAAUAAUAUUUUGGUGUUAAUGGAUUUGUUGGGUUACGAUCUCUUUUAACUUGAUCCUCUGAUUCGAUCUCCGUAAGGUGUUGAUUUAUGGAUGUUUCGUUGAUCUAAGGGCCGUCGAGGCUUGAUCUUGGAUGAACUGUUGGAAGUUUCUUCAAGGGGCCGUGGGCUUGAUCUUUGAAGGUGGAUUUGAGCGGAUCUUCAAGGAGCCGUUGGGGCUUGAUCUUGAGGAUGAGUGUUUCUUCAAGGGCCGUUAAGGCUUGAUCUUGAAUAACGGUGAUGAACGGAUCUUCAAGGGCUUUUGGGCUUGAUCUUGAAGAACGGUUGGAUGUGUGGAUUUGUUGAUGUUGUUGAUCCAAGGGCCGUCGGGGCUUGAUCUUGGAAGAACGAUGAACGAAGAACGAAGAACACUUUCUUCAAAGGCCGUCGGGGCUUGAUCUUGAAUUGGUGAUUGUUGAUCCAAGGGCCGUCGGGGCUUGAUCUUGGAAGAACGGUGAACGAAGAAUGAAGAACGAAGAACACUUUCUUCAAGGGCCGUCGGGGCUUGAUCUUGAAUUGGUGAUUGUUAAUCAAAGGGCCGUCGGGGCUUGAUCUUGGAAGAACGAUGAACGAAGAACGAAGAAGGCUUUCUUGAUUCUUCGGGAUGAACGGAUGAUGAACAAUGAACACUUUCUUCAAGGGCCAUCGGGGCUUGAUCUUGAAUUGGUGGAAGUUCUUCAGGGCCUUUGGGGCUUGAUCUUGAAGGUGGAUGAUUGUUGAUCCAAGGGCCGUCGGGGCUUGAUCUUGGGAUGAACAGUUGUGUGGAUUUGUUGAACACUUUCUUCAAGGGCCGUCGAUGCUUGAUCUUGAAUUGGUGGAAGUUCGUCAAGGGCCGUUGGGGCUUGAUCUUGAAGAAGGAUUUGACGAAGAACGAAGAGAGCUUUCUUGAUCCUUCGGAAUUUGCUUGAAUUUGGGAGGUUGGAUGCUUGAAAGCUUUAGAGUUUCAAAGCUUCAAGGAUUUUGGAUGUGUGGGGAGUAUUCUCUUACAUUUUGGGAGUAGAGAAAUGUAUUUGUGAAUUGGUUUUUGAUACCUUGAUGUAGAAGCCUAUUUAUAGGCUUUGAGAAUGAAUCACCACCACAAAAUAUUUUUUUCUUUUCCAAGCACCAUUGCCUAAUUUCCCACUUAAUACAAUUUUAAACUUGAAGUGGUAAUUUUAUGGCCUAAUUUUCCACUUAAUAUCAUUUUAAACUUGAUAUGUGCAUGCUUUGUCAUUGCCCAAAAUGAGAAGAAAACCUUGUUUUGAUCUUCAAUGGAUUGAAAUGUGCUUUGCCUUGUCAUUGCCCAAAAUGAGAAGAAAAACUUGUGUAAUCCUCCAAGGGUAUUUCUUUUUAUUUUGUUGAGUCACACACCAUGUGUACAAUUUGUAUGACACGUGGCAUAUGCCAUAUAUGCCUUGACACGUCAAAAUUUUAAUGCGUUGGUGAACAUUUAUUUCACCGCAAUUUCGAUGUCUACAAUUUCAUUUCUUGUGAAUAAUGUUUAUCCUGUGUUCUGUCCAAUCGCGUAUUAAAAAAUGUGUGAAGUUUGGAUUAACCACACUCUUUUAGAAUUUCCUUUAUUUACCACUUUUUGAGAAUUUCCAAUAAGACUGGGUGAGUCUCCGCUGAGAAUUUCCUCAACUAACACCACACUACUUGAGGGAUAAUUUGUUAUAUCUUUGAAUAAAGAAUAAAACAGUUUCCUACUUUUGAAGGUACUAUUAACUUACACUAUAUUUGGAUGAAGGUCAAACUUUAUAAAUUGACAUACACCAAAUUCUUUGUUUGGAUUCAUAAACAUAUAAAUUUAGAAUUUCCGCGUGGAAAAAAAAAAUACUUAGAAUUUGAGACCUCCAAUUCUCAAAUUGAAAGUUUAAAAAUAAUAAAUUCCGUAUUCAAUUCAAUUGUUCUUUUAGGUUAACCAAAUAAGAAAAUUCACAAAUUCUAAAAUAUAAAAUCUCAUCAUUUCAAUUUCCGUCAUUUUAAAAUUCCUUAGUAAUAUUAAAUUUCUUCAUCCAAACAUAGUGUUAAGAAAUUUUUUAAAGAUACACUAUUUACACUCAUUUUUAUUUCUUACACAUUUAUUAACUUUGUCCAUUGAUUUCUUCAAUUCAUUUUGCCAGUUAUACAAAAAUUGAGAACAGUAUUUAUGAAUUAAAAAUACAUUUGUAGAUGUCACUACCAAAUUUUUAUUCCUAAUUCAAGAAAAUCUUAUCCAUAUAUGAUUGCCCUUGCCCACUUUAAAUGGGUGCCAUCACUUUACGAUAGAGCAAUCCUAACCGUCCACCUAGGUAAGCAUAACUGGCGAUGCAUGUCGCAAGGGGACCGCAUUGCACAAUAUAAUUAUACUAGUUGAUAAGACAAGUGAUGUCAAUCAAUAAAUUAUUUCAUUAAAACUUAGUUGUAUGUAUCAUAUGUUGUAAUGUAGGGUGUAUGAUAUGCUGACGCUGUAAAAAAAUGUAACCUUUUUAAUAUUACUCAUAAUAGUAAGACUUACCAGUAUUAGGAUGUUAUCAGUGGAAUGAGAAUCCUCUCCAGAUCUUUUUUGUGAGCUAUUAUUUGUAUUUAAUUUUAAAUAUAAAAAAUUAAAAUAAUUUAUGACGGCAGUGAUUCACAUGAUCUUCACAAAGAGAAUCCAAAUAAUCUUAAUUUAUAUCAGUGUGUCUAGAUAACAUGAUCGAGCCCCUUUACUUUUACCCUAUUUAGUAUUUUACAUUUGAACCUGUAAAUAUUCGAUUUUUCUUUGGUGCAACCGAGCACCAAAUAUAGAUUUUUUUUCACUUUUAUAUAAUGAUAAAUAAAGGGCAAUUGGCAGAUUUGAAUUCCAUUCGGAUUGGUCAAAAAUCAUUUUAAAUUGUUUUAUUUAAAAUUAAACACAUAUAGUACUUAAUAAAAAUUAGUCGUACAAUAUACGAUAAACAGAUAUAAUGUAAGGACCUUUAUGAUCUUCACAAAAAAGAUCCAAAGGUUGUGUAGCUGUUUCAAAAGGAUAAUACUCACUUUUGAUUAGUUCAAUGAAAUUUUAAACAUGUUUUAUUGUUUUAAAAAAUAAUAAACAUAUUUAUUAAUGUUUGUUUUACUUUAAAAAAUAAGCAGCACUUGACAACAUUUGAUUGUGCUAAAUAAAAAAUGAGUGACCACUUAGUACUACAGUCUUAUGAUAUUUUUCUUCAUUUGAAAGUGAGAGGUUUUAAGUUCGAAUCUCGUGGAUGACGAAUUUGAUAUCAAAUUAGAUUGCUCACUAUGUGGCUUAGCCGAACUCUCAUUUCCUUUAAUGUAAAAAUAUUGAUGUAUUCAAAAAAAUAAAAAGUGACUAUAGAGGACACUCAAUCUCAGCUGUAUGAUUAAAUCAGACGGUAAGAAAAAUUCUGCAAGCAUACUCGGUUACAUUAAUUGAAGAAAAAAUGGGUAAAUAUUGGGCACCAACGUUAUAAAUACCCUCCACCAUGCACCCAACUCCCUCACACCAUCACAACCCACGUUACAAAUCCUCCUCCUCAUCAUAACCAUUCUGUUUUCCGCAUAAUAUCCAAAAACCUAUCAUGUCUGAAGAGAAACACCACCGCGGUCUCUUCCACCACCACAAGGAUGAAGACAAACCCUCAGACUACCCUCAGUCUGGCUACUCUGAUGAAGGACGUCCCGGCGGCCUCGGUGGUGGUUACGGCGACACCAAUGAUUAUUCUGGUGAAGGACGUACCGGCGGCCUAGGUGGUGGCUAUGGCGACACCAAUGCUUAUUCUGGUGAAGGACGUCCCGGCGGCUAUGGCGGCUAUAACGAGACCACUGCUUACUCUGAGGAAAGAGUUGAAAGACCCGGCGGUGGCCGGUACAGUGAGACUACUGCGGCAUAUGGCAGCACCACCACUCAUGAAUCUGAACUUGAUUACAAGAAGGAGGAGAAGCACCACAAGCAUCUCGAGCACCUCGGCGAGGCCGGUGUAGCUGCUGCCGGCGCUUUUGCCUUGGUACGUAUUGUAUUUUAACCCACCUCUAUAUAUAUAUAUAUUAGAAUAAUGCUAAUAAGACCAAAUUUUGAAAACUAAAUGAUGUGGUUGUUGAUAAUGAACUUAUUACUCAAGUCUUGAUUAACAUGCUUAUUUUCUAAUAGUGACACAUUAUUUGGUUUAGAAAUUUGGUCUUCCUAACUUUAUCAUUCUCAAAAUUUUCAUGAUUUUGAUAGGGUAAUACGGGAGAUCAAAAUUUCUAAACCAAAUUUGCAAACCAAUAGAUGAUUGGAUUAUUAAUUAAGUAUCGAUUGUUUGUUUCUUAUUAACGACAUAUCAUUUGAUUUACAAUUUAGUUAAAAAAAAUUUAUUCUUUCUGUCAUAUCCUUUUGAAUAUUUGAUCACUUUACUCUUUAUCACUUUACCCUUGAUCACUUUACCCAUACUCUUGCAACCGAAUCACCGUCCUCCUCCUUAACCUUCAUUUUUUUGUCUUACAGUACUCCAAUCUAUCAACUCUGUCCAUUGCAACUUUAAUUGUGAAGAAAAUUAAAGUCCUAUCGUAAAAUUAAUUAGUGAUAUGGAGAGUUGCGCAAUUAUUGAUGGACUAGGUAGGUAAGAUACGGAAUCAAAGUCUACCAUUAACAAUGGACGGAAUUGAUGAACCAUAUAGGUAUGUAAGAUACGGAAUCAAAGUCCUCAUGUAAAUGGUACAGUUGCAAUCAGGAGAAGAAAUGAGUUAACUGAUACCUUCGUAAUAGUUCAUGUAGAGUUUUGAUAUUAUUAAGCCUUAACCACCUGAUCUUAUAUAUACGAGGACAAAUCUAAUCAAAUAUGUGUUAAUUUCAAGGUUUGUUUUACAUUGAUGUGAGAUCGAUGCUAGCAAGAUAUAUAACUUAUGUCAGUUUCUAUAUGAUGUGUGUAGCAUGAGAAGCACAAUGAAAAGAAAGACCCAGAGCAUGCCCACAGGCACAAGAUAGAAGAGGAGAUUGCUGCAGCAGCUGCAGUUGGUUCGGGUGGAUUUGCCUUCCAUGAGCAUCAUGAGAAGAAAGAGACAAAGGAAGAAGAGGAAGAGGCUUAUGGAAAGAAGAAGCACCACCACUUCUAGAUCUAUGUGGAUUGUGGAACAUCAUCUUUUGA